rnacentral:rRNA from 1 species
CCUACGGGUGGCAGCAGUGGGGAAUAUUGCGCAAUGGGCGAAAGCCUGACGCAGCGACGCCGCGUGAGGGAUGAAGGUCUUCGGAUCGUAAACCUCUGUCAGCAGGGAAGAACGGUCACUGUGCUAAUCAGCAGUGAAUUGACGGUACCUGCAAAGGAAGCACCGGCUAACUCCGUGCCAGCAGCCGCGGUAAUACGGAGGGUGCGAGCGUUAAUCGGAAUUACUGGGCGUAAAGCGCUCGUAGGCGGUAUGUCAAGUCAAGGGUGAAAUCCCCGCGCUCAACGUGGGAACUGCAUUUGAAACUGGCAAACUGGAGUGUGUGAGAGGAUAGUGGAAUUCCAGGUGUAGGAGUGAAAUGCGUAGAUAUCUGGAGGAACAUCAGUGGCGAAGGCGACUAUCUGGCACAUAACUGACGCUGAGGAGCGAAAGCGUGGGUAACAAACAGGAUUAGAUACCCUAGUAGUC